UACGGAGGAUGCAAGCGUUAUCCGGAAUCAUGGGGCGUAAAGCGUUCGUAGGUGGCUGUGCAAGUCUGCCGUUAAAGACAGUGGCUUAACCACUGAAAGGCGGUGGAAACUGCACAGCUAGAGUGCGGUAGGGGUAGAGGGAAUUCCCGGUGUAGCGGUGAAAUGCGUAGAUAUCCGGAGGAACACCGGUGGCAAAGGCGGCUUCCUGGACCGACACUGACGCUGAGGCGCGAAAGCUAGGGGAGCAAACGGG
rnacentral:rRNA from 1 species